CAGGCUUCUCUUGUUGCAGAGCAUCACCUCUAGGGUGCUCAGGAUUCAGAAGUUGCAGUUCCCUGGGCUACAGAGCACAGGCUCAAUAGUUGUGGCCUUUGGGCUUAUGCUCUGAGGCAUGUGGGGUCUUCGUGGAUCAGGGAUUGAACCCAUCUCCUGCAUUGGCGGGCAGAUUCUUUACCGCUGAGCCACCAGAGAAGCCCUGAACUCCACUCUUCAGCACCUAGAACUUAGAAAGAACAUCACAGGAUUCUAGCUACUCUCAAAGAAUGUGCUCUAGUGAACUCCACAAGAGGGAAAGCCUUUGCAUACUUUAAUAUUCUGGAGGUUUGUGAUGAAGAAAGAGACCAAGUCAGUGAAAACAUUGUCUGACAUGACAUAUGUUUAAAAAAAAAUGACAAACCCCAAAUGAAUUGAUUUUUUUCUCCCUACUCCCAGGGUCACAGCAAAGCAAGACCUGACUGCAGUUUUAACCCUGCCCAUAAAUGUGACCCAUAAAACAAUCAAUCUUAAUUUUUGGAUCAAGACUCUGGAGCUAAUCUGCAUGGUUAAGACCCCUGCAGUUCCCUUCCCCCAGAAGAACACGGCCUGGCUUGAAAUCCUCUUUUCUUUUGCUAAUACCUCCUUGUCCCACCCUCCUCCAGCCUAUAAGAACCCUCUGGAGUUCCCCUCUAGUUGCUACAGGAGCUACUGUCUGAUUCUUGAAUCUCUGAAUAAAGCCCAUCAGAUCUUCAAAUUUACUCAAUUUUGAUUUUUAACACACAUCUCCCUUAUGUCACGAGAUACAUGUUGGUGUGUCUGUGUGUGGUCAGGCACCAACUGGAGGUGUUAUUCAUGAUGUAGUUUUUACACCUCAGGCUGUGGUCAAGUAGGAGUUUGUGGUACUCCUCAACAUUCCAAGAGGCAAACCACAAAACUCUGAAUGAUGAAAAUUGUCUCUAUUUUGAGAGAUUCUGGUGUGUAUCGGGUGGUCUAAGUGCGAUCAACUUUGUAAAAACCCCAUUUCCUCUGUUACUGAAACCAGGAUUUAGUAACAGGUUAAGAUAGAGCCUUCUAAGUCAACUCUCUAAGCUCCAGAGGACAGAGAGUGUUCCAGGCCCCGCUUCUCAGAGCCUUGGCAGUGCCUUCUAAGUGGCAGGGACACCCAGCACUGAAUCCUGCCAUGGGGCUGAGAAGAAGACAGAUCCCCACCACCUCUCAGGUGCCCCAGGAUGCUCUCGGCACUUGUACUGUAGAAUCCGGUGUCGCAAACACUCCUCGGAGGACACUCGAGACAGCGGAGUACGGUUUAUUACGCUAACAGGUCCUAACAAGU
ensembl:lncRNA